AUUGAACGCUGGCGGCAGGCCUAACACAUGCAAGUCGAGCGAGCGGCGGACGGGUGAGUAAUGUCUGGGAAACUGCCGGAUGGAGGGGGAUAACUCCUGGAAACGGUAGCUAAUACCGCAUACCAUCAGAUGUGCCCAGAUGGGAUUAGUGAGUAGGUGGGGUAACGGCUCACCUAGGCGACGAUCCCUAGCUGGGCUGAGAGGAUGUACAGCCACACGGGAACUGAGACACGGUCGAGCCGCCUACGGGAGGCAGCAGUGGAGAAUAUGGCACAAUGGGCGCAAGCCUGAUGCAGCCAUGCCGCGUGUGUGACGAGGGCCUUCGGGUUGUAAAGCACUUUCAGCGGGGAGGCGUUACCCGCAGAAGAAGCACCGGCUAACUCCGUGCCAGCAGCCGCGGUAAUAC
rnacentral:rRNA from 1 species